CGAGCGAAUCCCAAAAAGUAGCGUCCCAGUUCGGAUUGUAGUCUGCAACUCGACUACAUGAAGCCGGAAUCGCUAGUAAUCGCGGAUCAGAAUGCCGCGGUGAAUACGUUCCCGGGUCUUGUACACACCGCCCGUCACACCAUGGGAGCCGGAAAUGCCCGAAGUCAGUGACCCAACCGUAAGGAGGGAGCUGCCGAAGGUGGAGCCGGUAACUGGGGUGAAGUCGUAACAAGGUAGC
rnacentral:rRNA from 1 species